rnacentral:rRNA from 1 species
UACGGGGGGGGCAAGCGUUGUGCGGAAUUACUGGGCGUAAAGGGCUCGUAGGCGGCCAACUAAGUCAGACGUGAAAUCCCCAGGCUCAACCUGGGAACUGCGUCUGAUACUGGAUGGCUUGAAUCCGGGAGAGGGAUGCAGAAUUCCAGGUGUAGCGGUGAAAUGCGUAGAUAUCUGGAGGAAUACCGGUGGCGAAGGCGGCAUCCUGGACCGGCAUUGACGCUGAGGAGCGAAAGCCAGGGGAGCAAACAGG